GACAGACAGACAGACAGACAGACAGACAGACAGACAGACAGACAGACAGACAGACAGACAGACAGACACCAUGUCUCCCUCCCAGUCCUCCCUACUUCUGCUACUGCUGAUGGUCUCCUGCUCCUGGGCCUCCCACUUCUUAGGAGGAACCAUGACCUUCAACCCCAGAGGGACCAACCCAGACGGAACCUACAGGGUGGAUCUCCGUUACAAGACAACCUUCCACUCUACCGUCUGCCCAACUGAUACCUGGUCAUGUAUCAGUGGAGACUGUGGGAAUGAGAUCAGUUUAGUGGUUAACACCGUGGACCAGGCGAUAUCUGAGGUCUGGUGUCAGACAGAGGGAGUCAUGACUAGACACGUCUCCAAUAACACACAGACCUUUGAUCUGCUAUUGAAUAGUGGAAACUGGAUAAACAAUGUUAAUUCUGUUAGAGCUUGGAGGCUGUUGACUCAUGUGGAUCUUGGGGUCAGGUCUGACACGAAGACAGUCAACCGAUCUCCACAGACCACUGUCAUACCUCUGAUGCGUGUCCCUGCUAAUUGUCCAAGAGAGUUCAACCUGUUGUCGUUUGAUCCAGACGGGGAUGAGGUCAGAUGCAGAUAUGCAGUACCAACGGAUGAGUGUGUCACAUCAAGUGACCUUCCUAAUGAAUUCACUCUACGAGAGAACUGCACCUUGUCAUUUUGGGGCAACAGUAGUACCACUGGAACAUACGCAGUUCAGGUAGUGAUGGAGGAUUUCCCGACUCAGUCCAUCUCUCUCUCCUAUACUGACGGAUCUCAAUCUAUCAGGGCCUCAAACAACACACUCUCCAAACUACCUGUUCAGUUUGCAGUGAGAGUGGACCCCCCGGUGACAUCCUGUAUGGAGGGGUUGUACCUACCCAUGUUCCUGUCUCCAACACCAGCCCAGGGUGCACUGCUCUACGCCUCUGCAGACCAACCCCUGGAAAUCACUGUCAGAGCACAGGCUACCCAGUCCACGGUUUCAGAGCUGUUGGUGAGCGGACCUUCCAGUAUCACAGAGAACUCCACUGUCCCAGGAGAGUACCUUCUAAGAUGGACGCCCACUGAGGAUGAGGAGGGAGGGUACUAUCCUGUGUGCUUCAUCACUCAGGGGGUGAACGACAGUUUCACGUAUCACUCUGAGCUGCGCUGUCUGAUCGUCAGGGUUGGAAACACAAGUGCCAUCAGAACCACAGAGGAACCAACAACCUCCCCUCCCCUGACAAUAAACCUCACGACCACAGAGGAACCAACACCCUCCCCUCCUCUGAUAAUAAACCUCACGACCACAGAGGAACCAACACCCUCCCCUCCUCUGAUAAUAAACCUCACAACCACAGAGGAACCAACACCCUCCCCUCCUCUGAUAAUAAACCUCACAACCACAGAGGAACCAACAACCUCCCCUCCUCUGAUAAUAAACCUCACAACCACAGAGGAACCAACAACCUCCCCUCCUCUGAUAAUAAACCUCACAACCACAGAGGAACCAACAACCUCCCCUCCUCUGAUAAUAAACCUCACAACCACAGAGGAACCAACAACCUCCCCUCCUCUGAUAAUAAACCUCACAACCACAGAGGAACCAACAACCUCCCCUCCUCUGAUAAUAAACCUCACAACCACAGAGGAACCAACAACCUCCCCUCCUCUGAUAAUAAACCUCACGACCACAGAGGAACCAACACCCUCCCCUCCUCUGAUAAUAAACCUCACAACCACAGAGGAACCAACAACCUCCCCUCCUCUGAUAAUAAACCUCACAACCACAGAGGAACCAACAACCUCCCCUCCUCUGACAACAAACCUCACAACCACAGAGGAACCAACAACCUCCCCUCCUCUGACAACAAACCUCACAACCACAGAGGAACCAACAACCUCCCCUCCUCUGAUAAUAAACCUCACGACCACAGAGGAACCAACAACCUCCCCUCCUCUGAUAAUAAACCUCACAACCACAGAGGAACCAACAACCUCCCCUCCUCUGACAACAAACCUCACGACCACACAGAUUUCACCUGCACUUCCAACUACCACCCAAAAAACUACUGAACUCACAACCACACCCACAAAUGUCAGUACGUACGCUCCCACAACUACCACAGCUCCCACAACUACCACAGCUCCCACAACUACCACAUCACCCACAACUACCACAUCACCCACAACUACCACAGCACCCACAACUACCACAGCUCCUACAACUACCACAGCACUCACAACUACCACAUCACCCACAACUACCACAGCUCCCACAACUACCACAGCACCCACAACUACCACAGCUCCCACAACUACCACAGCACUCACAACUACCACAGCACUCACAACUACCACAGCACCCACAACUACCACAGCUCCCACAACUACCACAGCACCCACAACUACCACAGCACCCACAACUACCACAGCACCCACAACUACCACAGCUCCCACAACUACCACAUCACCCACAACUACCACAGCUCCCACAACUACCACAGCACCCACAACUUUAAGUACACACCCAACCACCGAUCUCACAACCCAUAUUGUGGACGGUACAACAACGAGCAGUGGGCCUAGAUACGUUGCUGUACUGAGGAUAAAACUGUCCUCUCUGAUCCCACUGACAGAUGAUUACAUCCGAAACGUGGUUUUACAGCAGCUCCGUGAGGAACUGAUCAGACAAGGGCUGCCAGGGGACUUCGCGCUACGCCUGAGAGACACUCAUGGGAUCAGUUCCUGAGGGGGGAACAGGAAUUCACAUCGACAUUCUUCACUCCUACUUGUCUUGUCUUCCUGGUUCUGAUUCUGCAGAAAGUCAUUUUGAAGAAGAAGUGGUUUGAAUGACUAAAAUGUAUGGGGUUCUUUCCUGUUUGGUAAUGUACAGAGGUAGACUGAGGUUCUUUCCUGUUUGGUAAUGUACAGAGGUAGACUGAGGUUCUUUCCUGUUUGGUAAUGUACAGAGGUAGACUGGGGUUCUUUCCUGUUUGGUAACAGAGGUAGACUGAGGUUCUUUCCUGUUUGGUAAUGUACAGAGGUAGACUGGGGUUCUUUCCUGUUUGGUAAUGUACAGAGGUAGACUGGGGUUCUUUCCUGUUUGGUAACAGAGGUAGACUGGGGUUCUUUCCUGUUUGGUAAUGUACAGAGAUAGACUGGGGUUCUUUCCUGUUUGGUAACAGAGGUAGACUGAGGGUCUUUCCUGUUUGGUAAUGUACAGAGGUAGACUGGGGUUCUUUCCUGUUUGGUAAUGUACAGAGGUAGACUGAGGUUCUUUCCUGUUUGGUAAUGUACAGAGGUAGACUGAGAUUCUUUCCUGUUUGGUAAUGUACAGAGGUAGACUGAGGUUCUUUCCUGUUUGGUAAUGUACAGAGGUAGACUGGGGUUCUUUCCUGUUUGGUAACAGAGGUAGACUGGGGUUCUUUCCUGUUUGGUAAUGUACAGAGGUAGACUGAGGUUCUUUCCUGUUUGGUAAUGUACAGAGGUAGACUGGGGUUCUUUCCUGUUUGGUAAUGUACAGAGGUAGACUGGGGUUCUUUCCUGUUUGGUAAUGUACAGAGGUAGACUGGGGUUCUUUCCUGUUUGGUAAUGUACAGAGGUAGACUGGGGUUCUUUCCUGUUUGGUAACAGAGGUAGACUGGGGUUCUUUCCUGUUUGGUAAUGUACAGAGAUAGACUGGGGUUCUUUCCUGUUUGGUAACAGAGGUAGACUGAGGGUCUUUCCUGUUUGGUAAUGUACAGAGGUAGACUGAGAUUCUUUCCUGUUUGGUAAUGUACAGAGGUAGACUGGGGUUCUUUCCUGUUUGGUAACAGAGGUAGACUGGGGUUCUUUCCUGUUUGGUAAUGUACAGAGAUAGACUGGGGUUCUUUCCUGUUUGGUAACAGAGGUAGACUGAGGGUCUUUCCUGUUUGGUAAUGUACAGAGGUAGACUGAGAUUCUUUCCUGUUUGGUAAUGUACAGAGGUAGACUGGGGUUCUUUCCUGUUUGGUAAUGUACAGAGGUAGACUGAGGUUCUUUCCUGUUUGGUAAUGUACAGAGGUAGACUGGGGUUCUUUCCUGUUUGGUAAUGUACAGAGGUAGACUGGGGUUCUUUCCUGUUUGGUAAUGUACAGAGGUAGACUGAGGUACUUUCCUGUUUGGUAAUGUACAGAGAUAGACUGGGGUUCUUUCCUGUUUGGUAAUGUACAGAGGUAGACUGAGGUUCUUUCCUGUUUGGUAAUGUACAGAGGUAGACUGGGGUUCUUUCCUGUUUGGUAAUGUACAGAGGUAGACUGGGGUUCUUUCCUGUUUGGUAACAGAGGUAGACUGGGGUUCUUUCCUGUUUGGUAAUGUACAGAGGUAGACUGGGGUUCUUUCCUGUUUGGUAAUGUACAGAGGUAGACUGAGGUUCUUUCCUGUUUGGUAAUGUACAGAGGUAGACUGAGGUUCUUUCCUGUUUGGUAACAGAGGUAGACUGAGGGUCUUUCCUGUUUGGUAAUGUACAGAGGUAGACUGAGGUUCUUUCCUGUUUGGUAAUGUACAGAGGUAGACUGGGGUUCUUUCCUGUUUGGUAAUGUACAGAGGUAGACUGGGGUUCUUUCCUGUUUGGUAAUGUACAGAGGUAGACUGAGGUUCUUUCCUGUUUGGUAAUGUACAGAGGUAGACUGGGGGUCUUUCCUGUUUGGUAAUGUACAGAGGUAGACUGAGGGUCUUUCCUGUUUGGUAACAGAGGUAGACUGGGGUUCUUUCCUGUUUGGUAAUGUACAGAGGUAGACUGAGGUUCUUUCCUGUUUGGUAAUGUACAGAGGUAGACUGGGGUUCUUUCCUGUUUGGUAACAGAGGUAGACUGGGGUUCUUUCCUGUUUGGUAAUGUACAGAGGUAGACUGGGGUUCUUUCCCGUUUGGUAAUGUACAGAGGUAGACUGGGGUUCUUUCCUGUUUGGUAAUGUACAGAGGUAGACUGGGGUUCUUUCCUGUUUGGUAAUGUACAGAGGUAGACUGGGGUUCUUUCCUGUUUGGUAACAGAGGUAGACUGGGGUUCUUUCCUGUUUGGUAACAGAGGUAGACUGGGGUUCUUUCCUGUUUGGUAAUGUACAGAGGUAGACUGAGGUUCUUUCCUGUUUGGUAAUGUACAGAGGUAGACUGGGGUUCUUUCCUGUUUGGUAAUGUACAGAGGUAGACUGGGGUUCUUUCCUGUUUGGUAACAGAGGUAGACUGAGGGUCUUUACUGUGUCAAGAAUAGUUGGUUGAGGCUCCGUUUUCUGUGACAUUUUAGUGACAGAGGACACCGGUAGGUAGGACCCACUUGUAAACACCCACACACACACUCAGGAAGACGUUUCACUUUCACUCACACAUGGAGCAUAAAGAAGAAUGAACAAUGAGGUUGAAUUGACACUGACGAAAGAGAAGAAAUUAAUUGACAUUGACUAAAGAGAAGAAGAAAUGAAUUGACACUGACGAAAGAGAAGAAGAAAUGAAUUGACAUUGACUAAAGAGAAGAAGAAAUGAAUUGACAUUGACUAAAGAGAAGAAGAAAUGAAUUGACAUUGACUAAAGAGAAGAAGAAAUGAAUUGACACUGACGAAAGAGAAGAAGAAAUGAAUUGGGAAUUGAUUGAAAUCCUAAUUAAAGGUUAAACAUAUUAAAUGUUAAAACAUUGGGAGAUAUUACAGGUGGUAAAAUAAUGCAGGUGAGGAGAGUUAUAAUGUAGUUUUCUUUAAGUUGUGAAUCAUCUAGACUGUGUUUCAUUCUGCUUAGAGGACAAGGACUUAGGAGGUUGAUAAUGAGACGUUAUAAUGGUCAAAUGUUAUCAUGUUUAAAAUAUUGAAUUAUUAAGAUAUAACUGGAGUAAUAAAUUAGGUUGUAGUAAGAUUAGAAUUGAGUAAAGGUAGUUUGAAAAAUGUAUGUUUUAAGAAGUUGAUGUUAAUGAAGUAUAUUGGUCCUUCUGUAGCUCAGUUGGUAGAGCAUGGCACUUGUAACACCAGGGUAGUGGGUUCGAUUCCCGGGACCACACAUACGUAGAAUGUAUGCACACAUGACUGUAAGUCGCUUUGGAUAAAAGCGUCUGCUAAAUUUCUUAUUUCUUAAUAUACUUCUUAUAUUAAAGGUGCUAGCUUGAUCUGGAAAUCGCUUGAGGUUUCCUCAUUGAUAGAAGUGUUCUAGAACAUUCUAGGAGGAAUCCUUUAGGUUACCUCAUUGGUAGAAGUGUUCUAGAACAUUCUAGGACAUUCUAGGAGGAAUCCUUUAGGUUACCUCAUUGGUAGAAGUGUUCUAGAACAUUCUAGGAGGAACCCUUUAGGUUACCUCAUUGGAAGAAGUGUUCUAGAACAUUAUAGGAGGAACCCUUUAGGUUACCUCAUUGGUAGAAGUGUUCUAGAACAUUCUAGGAGGAAUCCUUUAGGUUACCUCAUUGGUAGAAGUGUUCUAGAACAUUAUAGGAGGAACCCUUUAGGUUACCUCAUUGGUAGAAGUGUUCUAGAACAUUAUAGGAGGAACCCGUUAGGUUACCUCAUUGGUAGAAGUGUUCUAGAACAUUAUAG